AGAGUUUGAUCCUGGCUCAGGAUGAACGCUAGCUACAGGCUUAACACAUGCAAGUCGAGGGGCAUCAUGGCGGUUGCUUGCAACCGCCGAUGGCGACCGGCGCACGGGUGAGUAACGCGUAUCCAACCUGGCCGUUGCCACGGCACAGCCCGCCGAAAGGCGGAUUAAUGCGGUAUGAGGCGCUUCGAUGGCAUCAGAAGAGCGCCAAAGCUUCGGCGGCAGCGGAUGGGGAUGCGUCCGAUUAGGCAGCAGGCGGGGCAACGGCCCACCUGGCCGACGAUCGGUAGGGGUCCUGAGAGGGAGGCCCCCCACACUGGGACUGAGACACGGCCCAGACUCCUACGGGAGGCAGCAGUGAGGAAUAUUGGUCAAUGGGCGGAAGCCUGAACCAGCCAAGUAGCGUGCGGGACGACGGCCCUAUGGGUUGUAAACCGCUUUUUCACGGGGAUAAAGUGCGCCACGUGUGGCGCUUUGCAGGUACCGUGCGAAUAAGGACCGGCUAAUUCCGUGCCAGCAGCCGCGGUAAUACGGAAGGUCCGGGCGUUAUCCGGAAUCAUUGGGUUUAAAGGGAGCGUAGGCCGCAUGUCAAGCGUGCUGUGAAAUCCCGGGGCUCAACCCCGGAAGCGCAGCGCGAACUGGCGUGCUUGAGUUGCAUCGAGGCAGGCGGAAUUCGUGGUGUAGCGGUGAAAUGCUUAGAUAUCACGAAGAACCCCGAUUGCGAAGGCAGCCUGCCAGUUGCACACUGACGCUGAUGCUCGAAGGCGCGGGUAUCGAACAGGAUUAGAUACCCUGGUAGUCCGCGCGGUAAACGAUGGAUGCCCGCCCUUGGGCCGCUACGGUUCAGGGGCCAAGCGAAAGCGUUAAGCAUCCCACCUGGGGAGUACGCCGGCAACGGUGAAACUCAAAGGAAUUGACGGGGGCCCG
rnacentral:rRNA from 1 species